CAGGUUUCGAUGUGCCGUUCAUGUGGAGCUGCUUCUGUAUCGGCGCUAUGGGGACCAUCUACACUGCUCUGGGAGGACUGAGGGGCGUCGUGUGGAUGGACUGCCUGCAGGCUGCAUUAACGCUGCUAGCGCCAGCCACUAUUAUAUCCAAGAUUGUUUACGACUCCUACCACGGGUCUGUUCCAUUGAGACCCUUGACCGACUUCGAUGUCAGGCCGUACAUCUUCAAAACCAGUCUAGAUUUGACGCAGGACGAAAAUGUGUGGAGCUGCUUUCUGGGUCUUCUUGCGAUGGCACUCUACAGUUCAUGCCUC